rnacentral:rRNA from 1 species
UACGGAGGGUGCGAGCGUUGUCCGGAAUCAUUGGGCGUAAAGGGCGCGUAGGUGGCCCGGUCAGUCCGUGGUGAAAGCGCGGGGCUCAACCCCGCGUCGGCCAUGGAUACUGCUGGGCUGGAGCACUGUAGAGGCAGGCGGAAUUCCGGGUGUAGCGGUGGAAUGCGUAGAGAUCCGGAAGAACACCGGUGGCGAAGGCGGCCUGCUGGGCAGUUGCUGGACACUGAGGCGCGACAGCUAGGGGAGCGAACAGG